rnacentral:tRNA from 1 species
GGGGUUGUGGCUUAGUGGUAGAGUGCUUGCCUGGCACGCAUGGCCUGAGAUAGUAAGUUGGAUCCCAGCACCA